rnacentral:rRNA from 1 species
UUAGUGGAAGCGUCUGGAAAGGCGCGUGAUACAGGGUGACAGCCCCGUACACAAAAAUGCACAUGCUGUGAGCUCGAUGAGUAGGGCGGGACACGUGGUAUCCUGUCUGAAUAUGGGGGGACCAUCCUCCAAGGCUAAAUACUCCUGACUGACCGAUAGUGAACCAGUACCGUGAGGGAAAGGCGAAAAGAACCCCGGCGAGGGGAGUGAAAAAGAACCUGAAACCGUGUACGUACAAGCAGUGGGAGCACGCUUAGGCGUGUGACUGCGUACCUUUUGUAUAAUGGGUCAGCGACUUAUAUUCUGUAGCAAGGUUAACCGAAUAGGGGAGCCGAAGGGAAACCGAGUCUUAACUGGGCGUUAAGUUGCAGGGUAUAGACCCGAAACCCGGUGAUCUAGCCAUGGGCAGGUUGAAGGUUGGGUAACACUAACUGGAGGACCGAACCGACUAAUGUUGAAAAAUUAGCGGAUGACUUGUGGCUGGGGGUGAAAGGCCAAUCAAACCGGGAGAUAGCUGGUUCUCCCCGAAAGCUAUUUAGGUAGCGCCUCGUGAAUUCAUCUCCGGGGGUAGAGCACUGUUUCGGCAAGGGGGUCAUCCCGACUUACCAACCCGAUGCAAACUGCGAAUACCGGAGAAUGUUAUCACGGGAGACACACGGCGGGUGCUAACGUCCGUCGUGAAGAGGGAAACAACCCAGACCGCCAGCUAAGGUCCCAAAGUCAUGGUUAAGUGGGAAACGAUGUGGGAAGGCCCAGACAGCCAGGAUGUUGGCUUAGAAGCAGCCAUCAUUUAAAGAAAGCGUAAUAGCUCACUGGUCGAGUCGGCCUGCGCGGAAGAUGUAACGGGGCUAAACCAUGCACCGAAGCUGCGGCAGCGACGCUUAUGCGUUGUUGGGUAGGGGAGCGUUCUGUAAGCCUGUGAAGGUGUACUGUGAGGUAUGCUGGAGGUAUCAGAAGUGCGAAUGCUGACAUAAGUAACGAUAAAGCGGGUGAAAAGCCCGCUCGCCGGAAGACCAAGGGUUCCUGUCCAACGUUAAUCGGGGCAGGGUGAGUCGACCCCUAAGGCGAGGCCGAAAGGCGUAGUCGAUGGGAAACAGGUUAAUAUUCCUGUACUUGGUGUUACUGCGAAGGGGGGACGGAGAAGGCUAUGUUGGCCGGGCGACGGUUGUCCCGGUUUAAGCGUGUAGGCUGGUUUUCCAGGCAAAUCCGGAAAAUCAAGGCUGAGGCGUGAUGACGAGGCACUACGGUGCUGAAGCAACAAAUGCCCUGCUUCCAGGAAAAGCCUCUAAGCAUCAGGUAACAUCAAAUCGUACCCCAAACCGACACAGGUGGUCAGGUAGAGAAUACCAAGGCGCUUGAGAGAACUCGGGUGAAGGAACUAGGCAAAAUGGUGCCGUAACUUCGGGAGAAGGCACGCUGAUAUGUAGGUGAAGUCCCUCGCGGAUGGAGCUGAAAUCAGUCGAAGAUACCAGCUGGCUGCAACUGUUUAUUAAAAACACAGCACUGUGCAAACACGAAAGUGGACGUAUACGGUGUGACGCCUGCCCGGUGC